AAUAGAUACCCGGGUAGUCCACGCCGUAAACGAUGAGUGCUAAGUGUUAGAGGGCUUCCACCCUUUAGUGCUGCAGCUAACGCAUUAAGCACUCCGCCUGGGGAGUACGGCCGCAAGGCUGAAACUCAAAGGAAUUGACGGGGGCCCGCACAAGCGGUGGAGCAUGUGGUUUAAUUCGAAGCAACGCGAAGAACCUUACCAGGUCUUGACAUCCUUCGCUACCUCUAGAGAUAGAGGGUUCCCCUUCGGGGGACGGAGUGACAGGUGGUGCAUGGUUGUCGUCAGCUCGUGUCGUGAGAUGUUGGGUUAAGUCCCGCAACGAGCGCAACCCUUGACCUUAGUUGCCAGCAUUCAGUUGGGCACUCUAAGGUGACUGCCGGUGACAAACCGGAGGAAGGUGGGGAUGACGUCAAAUCAUCAUGCCCCUUAUGACCUGGGCUACACACGUGCUACAAUGGAUGGUACAAAGGGUCGCGAAACCGCGAGGUGGAGCCAAUCCCAAAAAACCAUUCUCAGUUCGGAUUGCAGG
rnacentral:rRNA from 1 species